AAAAAUUGUACACAAGUCACUGGUCCAGAUCUACAGCAAAAAUAUUUCCAGUCCAAUCAUGUAAAAGAAACCGUAGUGGAGUCCCUUUAAUAAAUAUAAGUAUUAUAAUCAAACUUAAUUUUUAUUUUUUUACAUAAAACUAAUGCUUAUCUGGAGAUGCAAUAUGUGUUUAUAUAAUUAUGUACCCAUUCAUUCCAAUGAAUGGAAAACCUUAUAGGAAAGAGAAAAUGCAUAUCAAUAUAA